GGAGGGUGCAGCUCAGUGGGAGAGCGCGUGCCUCACAUGCACGAGUCCUGGGUUCAAUCCCCAGUUACUCCG
rnacentral:tRNA from 1 species